rnacentral:rRNA from 1 species
GACGGGGGUAACGCGUGAGAAUCUGGCUCAGGUCGGGGACAACAGUUGGAAACGACUGCUAAUACCGGAUGUGCCGAAGGUAAAAGAUUAUUGCCUGGAGAUGAGCUCGCGUCUGAUUAGCUAGUUGGUGAGGUAAGAGCGCACCAAGGCGACGAUCAGUAGCUGGUCUGAGAGGAUGAUCAGCCACACUGGGACUGAGACACGGCCCAGACUCCUACGGGAGGCAGCAGUGGGGAAUUUUCCGCAAUGGGCGAAAGCCUGACGGAGCAAUACCGCGUGAGGGAGGAAGGCUCUUGGGUUGUAAACCUCUUUUCUCAAGGAAUAACAAUGAAGGUACUUGAGGAAUAAGCAUCGGCUAACUCCGUGCCAGCAGCCGCGGUAAUACGGAGGAUGCAAGCGUUAUCCGGAAUGAUUGGGCGUAAAGGGUCCGCAGGUGGCAUUGUGUGUCUGCUGUCAAAGAAUGAGGCUUAACCUUAUCAAGGCAGUGGAAACUACAAAGCUAGAGUACGGUCGGGGUAGAAGGAAUUCCUGGUGUAGCGGUGAAACCCGUAGAGAUC